rnacentral:rRNA from 1 species
GCGCGAAAACUUUACAAUGCUGGCAACAGCGAUAAGGGAACCUCGAGUGCCAGGUUACAAAUCUGGCUGUCGAGAUGCCUAAAAAGCAUUUCAUAGCAAGGGCCGGGCAAGACCGGUGCCAGCCGCCGCGGUAACACCGGCGGCUCGAGUGGUAACCGUUAUUAUUGGGUCUAAAGGGUCUGUAGCCGGCCGGAUAAGUCUCUUGAGAAAUCUGGCAGCUUAACUGUCAGGCUUUCAGGAGAUACUGUCUGGCUCGAGGCCGGGAGAGGUGAGGGGUACUUCAGGGGUUGGGGUGAAAUCUUGUAAUCCUUGAAGGACCACCAGGGGCGAAGGCGUCUCACCAGAACGGACCUGACGGCAAGGGACGAAAGCUAGGGGCACGAACCG